GAGUUUGAUCAUGGCUCAGAACGAACGCUGGCGGCAGGCCUAACACAUGCAAGUCGUGCGCGCCUUCGGGUGAGCGGCGGACGGGUGAGUAACGCGUGGGAAUGUGCCCUUCUGUUGAGGAUAGCCCCGGGAACUGGGAGUAAUACUCGAUACGCCCUACGGGGGAAGGAAGGAAUCCCCGCGUCUGAUUAGGUGUUGGUGGGGUAAUGGCCUACCAAGCCUAGAUCAGUACUGGUUUUAGAGGAUGAUCAGCCCACUGGUGACUGAGACACGGCCCAGACUCCUACGGCUGAGGCACAGUGGGGAAUCUUAGACAAUGGGGGCAACCCUGAUCUAGCCAUGCCGCGUGAGUGAUGAAGGCCCUAGGGUCGUAAAGCUCUUUCGCCAGGGAUGAUAAUGACAGUACCUGGUAAAGAAACCCCGGCUAACUCCGUGCCAGCAGCCGCGGUAAUACGGAGGGGGUUAGCGUUGUUCGGAAUUACUGGGCGUAAAGCGCGCGUAGGCGGAUCAGAAAGUUGGGGGUGAAAUCCCGGGGCUCAACCCCGGAACUGCCUCCAAAACUCCUGGUCUUGAGUUCGAGAGAGGUGAGUGGAAUUCCGAGUGUAGAGGUGAAAUUCGUAGAUAUUCGGAGGAACACCAGUGGCGAAGGCGGCAUCACUGGCUCGAUACUGACGCUGAGGUGCGAAGUGUGGGGAGAAACAGAGAUUAGAUACCCUGGGUAGUCCACACCGUAAACGAUGAAUGCCAGUCGUCGGUGUAGCAUGCUAUUCGGUGACACACCUAACGGAUUAAGCAUUCCGCCUGGGGAGUACGGUCGCAAGAUUAAAACUCAAAGGAAGUUGACGGGGCGCCCGCACAAGCGGUGGGAGCAUGUGGUUUAAUUCGAAGAACGCGCAGAACCUUACCAACCCUUGACAUCCUGUGCUACAUCCAGAGAGGAUGGUCCCUUCGGGGACCAGUGACAGGUCUGCAUGGCGUCGUC
rnacentral:rRNA from 1 species